CUCCAUUUUGUGGCUUAUCAAAAAGUCUGUGACAUUUCCUUCAGGAGAUGAAGUACAAGGGAACCUGGGACGUCAUGAAUUUGGCCUGUGGAGUUGUGCGUGUCAACCCCAAGAGAAGCGUGAGUCAUUAUUGGAAGACAACUAGAAAGAGGGUCCACGGAUGACUCCAGGAGUCUGGGUUGGCUGAAACCCCGGGAAGAAAGACUUCUCCAAUGUACACUGAUGGUGGGCUCUUCGCCUUUAUGGCUUUCUCUGCUAUCAGCAAGGGCUGACUCAGCAUCCUCUGGACUGUGAGCCAAUGCUGCUAUUUCAGAGGGGGCCAAUUCAGGCACAACAGCAUCUGCCUUUAGACUAUCAGGUACAGCCCAGACCUUGUCAGGAAUUAUGAGACCACCGUCUGAUGCCUUGCUCUCAGAAUUUGUCAGUUGUCGUGGUGGCCAGAUUUCAGAAGCGGAAGCCUCUAGAGUUAUAAUCUUCAGCUUGUUGCCUGCCUCCCAAUUUCCAGGUCUAUAUUCUUUAGACUCUUCCAAAAGGAUAUCAGAGAGAGAUGGAACGUUGCUCAGAGCCUGACUGUCUUCUUCCCCAGCAGUUUCAGCCACCACGGAGACCCUCGUCCCCCAACCUGAGCGCUGCCCUGCUCCUUCCCUAGAGCUUGCGGGUGAGUGGGCCGUGGGCACCAAGUUUCUUUCCUCUUGUGCAGCAGAUGUCGUAGGCAAACUUUGUUGGAAAUCAGGUGCAGAAAGAGAACCCUGCUGGGACAGGCUCUGCUGCUGGACCCCCUGCUUUGUUUCACUUCCUCUUUCUUGGAAAUUCUCUUCAUAGCUCCUAAAGUCUGCUCUGUCCACAGUCUGGCUCUUAUCUCCAGACAGGUUAUCAACCUGAAGAGGGGAAUUACUGCAGAAACCCUCUCCCUCUGGGAGCUGCAGGACAUGGUGUGGGACUCCUGGCACACUGGGUGCCCUGCAAAGUAGCUCUUUUGUAGAUUUGAUGGUAGCACCACUUAAAAUAUGAUCCAACUGCACUUGGGAAGGAAAUUGGGAAACCUUUUCAUGGGAUGCACGAGGGAACCUCUCCUCAGUGCCACCUGCAUGCUUGUCCUCAGGAAUUGACACAGCAAGGUAUUUGGCUGGGUGGACUUCGGUGGCAAUGGUAACAGUUGAUGUGUCCUCAGUCUCCCUGGUCGCUUGAAAGCACUCAUUAUUAGCAGUUAAUGUUGUUGGCUUCUCCCAAGGAAAACUCACAAUUGAACUAUAACUGGCUGGUGUGGCUGUGGUGUCUGCGGCACUAGGACUGGGGCUCUUGUCACCUCCUUCUUUAAAUUGCACUAAAGGAUUGUUCUCAGAAGAAAGGAGCUGUGUUUCAUCAAGCCCUCCUGAGUUGCUGGGGCUUGGCUGCUCCUGGCCAGCAUGUACUGUGGAGGCCAGUGGGUAGGUGGAAUUCUCCACCUUGGCUAGAUUUUCUCCUGUGGCACCUUCACUAGCUGUGUGUGAAAUGUUCAAGGUGAAAGUACUGGUAAAAAGAGGGGACAUGACUGAGUUGCCGUCCUUGCUGCUUUUGCACGUAGACACUGAAGUCUCAGACACUUGUGUCUGAAAAAAGACUUCCAGUGUCUUGUCAUUAGAAGAACAUAAAUCAGAUACUUUGUUUUGACCUUCUGCCAGUUCCGUAUCUACAGAGCAAAUUUCUUGAGGCGAAUAUUUAUCAACUGGUCUCCCAACAAGAGAAUCUAUGGUAUCAAAACACGUUCCUUGGUCACCAGCCUCAAAACACUCCAUUGCACACACUGCUUCUCUGUCCCUUGGCUCAUCACACACAUUUUCCAGGGUGAGGGCAGUAUCUGUGGGUUCAGGGGAAGCAACAGAGACAGCCACAGGCUCCCUGAAGUCAGCACGAGCAUCCUUGGGGAGAUGCCUUGAGAACACACCUGGGGACAUAGUCUCAUCAUUGGCUUCUGAGAUGCUCUGCUCAUAUUUUAGGUCUUCCCUGAAAUUGUCAGGAAAUAGAUGGAAAUAAAUCGAAUGUUAACUGUUUUGAUCAAGUAAGUCACAACAAGAGCUGUGCGCAUCUUUCCAGAAAGAUGAAUCUCACAUGAUCAUAAUAAAUGAAAUAAACAGUACUUGCAAAACAGCAAUAAGCAAUCUUUGUCCCCAAAAUAUAACAGCUUGCUGGUUAAUAAUUGCUAUGGUUUGGAUAUUUGCCCCCUCCAAACCUCAUGUUGAAAUUUGAUCCUCAGGGUUGAAGGUGGGGCCUAAUGGGAAGUGUUUGGGUUAUGGGGGUGGAUCUCUUACGAAUAGAUUUAUGCCAUCCCUCAGGGGUGGGGGGAAUGAGUGAGUUCUCAAUCUAUUACUUCCUCGUUGUUAAAAAGAGUCUGGCACCAUCCCCACCCCCACCCUGCUUCCUCUCUGUCCAUACUAUCUCUGAAAAUGCCAGCUCCCCUCUGCCUCCCAUCGUGAGUUGGAAGCAGACUGAGGCCCUCACCAGAUGCAGAUGCCUAAUGUUGAACUUUCUAGCCACCAGAAUCAUGAACCAAAUAGGCCUCAUUUCUUGAUAAACUACCCAAUCUCAGGUAUUCUGUUAUAGCAACAUGAAGUGCACUAAGAUAACAAUGUUACUAAAAAACAGAGAGAAGGCUGCCUUUGAACCCACCUCUAAUGAAUAAAUGGACUUAUGAUUGGCCACCAGCACUGCCAAUCAUUUCUUUCCUAGAGAAGCUUAUAAACAUCCCAGAAUGUAUCCCAGACUUUAAAAUAGAUGCCCAGUGGCAGGCAGACCACCUCUACAGGAAAUAGAAGAUUCAGGACUGCUUAGGUUUUUGAGAAAAGGGGAGAGGGGGAGGGAGGGAGGAAGAGAGGAAGGCAGAGAAAAAGAAACCUCACAUUCUGAGGAUUGAGCCUUUCAUGGUACUAUAUGAACGUUCCAUGAUAUUGGAUAUUGUUCAAGGAAGCAGCAAACUCUUUGACUAAAUCCUUGUCUCAUGAAACUUUUAGCUCAUUGAUUAUUUCAAAACAAAGAAAACUUAUGUCCAGCCAAGGAGAAGAAAAUUACUUCUAAUUUCUGAAGCAACUCAGUCUUUGCUCCCAGGACUCCUGCCUUGGACAGCCACAUUCAGAUGUGCAGGGAACAGAUGACUGGCCUUGGCGGGAUGGGGUUCAGGGGUGGGGAUGAAGUCUGUCUCCCAGCGUAUGACAAAACAGAGCUGAAAUGUUCAUGGGCAUAUUAUGGCUCCAAUGUCAUGAGAUUGAUUCUCAUAAAUCAUACAUGACAGUCAGUCUUACUACCUUGUGGUCAAUCCCUGUAUGUACUGCCCGUGGGAAGCAGGACAACAGCAUAAUCACACCUCUUUCCACACUUCCCCCAGGCUGCUUACAGCCUGUCAGUCAUGCAUCUCUCAUUUUCUCUUUUAAAGCUACUUUGAGGUUCAUUUAACUCAUAUUUGAUGGGCAUAAAAAUGCUAACUAAACAAGAAAGAAAUUUAAUAUAAACUCCAUGAGGGCUAGGACUACUUAAUCUUUUCAACAAAUAUUUAGUGAAUGCCUCCAAAGUACUAGGGAGUGUUUUAGAUAAUGGGGAUACAAGACAGGCAAAUGCUCAUCUACAAGGAGCUCCCAUUCUGUGUUCUAGUGAAGGCCUGUUAUAGCGAUUAGCAUGCGGUAGAUGCUUACUAAGUGUUUGUUGAGAGAAUGAAUAAAUGAAUGAACCAUGUACCAGUUGAGACAGCUGUAGCCAACUUCACCCAUUAAAGCUCUACACUUGAAAGGGUUUGAACUUUCAUCUGCUCCUGACUUUGCAACAACCCCAUUUUAAAAGAGACUUUGAACCCUAAGCACUACUGGUUAUCCUGGUGUUCCCGGAAAGAAAAGUAUAUUUAUUCCCUUUCUAUAUCCCUUUUUCUUCUUUAUUAAAAAGAAGAAAUAUCAUUUCUGGGAAAUAAGGGAUAAGGUAUUUUUUUAAAAGAGUUUGAUGUGCAUAUGCUUUCCUCUCUAUACCUCAAUAUCUGUAACACAUGUAAAGAGUACUUUUCUGGUUUGGUAUUUUGGUUCAGCCUUUUAAGAAUAUGCUAUAGCACAAAUAGACUGAGUCAUUAAGCACAGAAAACAUGGGGAACUUCCUGGUCAUUAUGUGAAAUGUAUAGAGAGACUGCCCCAUCAAAAGCACCACCACCCCUCUCUCCGGCCUUUCUAUCCUGCCUGCAUUUCCACUACCUAUGUCAGUCCCUUAUUUUAAGGUCCUGGUAUUAUCACAGUAUCAUCAGUGUCAACAGACAUUUAUGGAGUAGCUGUCAUGUGCAGAAUUCUCUGUCAGGCACUGGGCAAUUUUUUCCAAAGGGCUUCAGUUAAAAAGUUACUAUGAUAUUUACUGGGAUGGUACCUUUAUUCUUCCGUGAUUGAUUACUAUUACAUCAGCAAAGUAAUAAGCGGGUACCUAGAAGAGACUGACCUCUGAAGAGAAUUAAACACAGGACAAGUUUUCAUUAGGAUGAGCUUGGUCACUGGAAUAGAUCAUCAUAGUAUCAUGCCGUGAUUUACAAAAUAAUCAUAUUCCAUUGAGAUUUAUUUGCACCUUUCCUCUUGUAUUAGUCAGUUCUUGCACUGCUAUAAAUACCUGAGACUGGGUAAUUUAUAAAUGAAAGAGGUGUAAUUGGCUCACGGUUCCACCGGCUAUACAGGAAGUAUGGUGGCAACUGCUUCUGGAGAGGCCUCAGGGAACUUUACUCAUGGCAGAUGGCAAAGCUGAAGCCCACAUCUUGCCCGACAGGAGCAGGACCAAGAGCGAGCAAGGGGGAGGUGCCGCACACUUUUAAACAACCAGAUCUCACAAGAACUCACUCAUUGUCACGAGACCAGUACCAGGAGAUGGCGCUAAGCCAUUCAUGAGGAACCACCCGCAUCAUCCAAUCACCUCCCACUGGGCCCCACCUCCAACAUUGGGGAUUACAUCUCAGUGCAAGAUUUGGUAGAGACACAGAUCCAAACCAUAUCGCCCCUCUUACUUUUAAAUUAAAAUUCUACUUCAAAAUACCCUAGUGAAUCUCCACAUGUAAAAAAAUUGGUUGAAUCCUUGACCGUGUAAAUUCAUACAUUUGACACACAUUUAGUGACCAUCUACUUUAUACCAGGCACUGUUCUAGGCAGCUGGGAAACAUCAAUGAACAUAACAGAGAUUGCUGGCCUGUGGAAGUUACGUUGAAGCAACAAACCGUACAACUGGCCCGCUGCUGAUAAGCAAUUCCAUAAAUUUGAUUUUAACCAAUGGGGUUUUUUUUGAAGUGAAGCCUUUAACAGCCCAGUUCAUAUUUGUACUUGCUUACGGCAUCAGUUUCAAGAGCAGGCUCCUCGGUUCUCAUCCAGAGGCCAGCUCACAGAGAAAGGGAAACCACAGACUCACACCUUCCCAAUGAGUCAGACCUUUCUUUUAGGAGGAGAUUUCUUAGUUAAGUCAUUACAAAAGAAUGCUAGCAAAUGAUUCUUCUGCUGUGCACCUAUUCUCAGCAUAGAAUGAGUGCUGAAACUUCGAGUGAGUGCUGACACAAUUUCCUUAUGUAGGGAAAUUGUACUCAUUCAAGUGAAAAAAGGAGUGUUUGGGGCUCUAGGAGUAAGCCCAACAUAGUGUGUGGUGCGUGGACUUGGAGGACUAGCAACCAGCGUUUGUAGCCCAGCUUAAUUGGAUAUAGCAUGCAUGACCACGGGUAACCUCUUUAGCUUCUCUGACCCUCUGUCUCCUCCUCUAAGACUAACCACAUGCAUGUCUGCACCAUCUUGUCAAGUGCCUGACAUAUUGCCUGGUGCCCAGAAGGCACUCACUCACUGAUACUAAUUUUCCUUCUUCUCUGUGAAAAAACAGCAGUAGCUCAGGAAAAGAGGAAGUUGGGGAGCUCUGACAGGCAGAGCCUUGAGCUAUGAGCUUUAUGAGGGUUUUCUCAUCUGAUCCGUAAAAUAAAUCUGAGAAAAAGAUGUUAUCAUCUCUUCUUUACUGAUGAGAUGAAUAGCCUAGGUCCAAUCAUAGAAACCACACAGUAGGUUAUAUAAGAGAAGUUCAAUAUAAAGAACUAUUGACUGUGAUAGAAGAGUGCUAUAAGGUAUAAGGAAACUGUCUAUAGUACUCUAGGUAAGGGAAAGUACCAAGGAAGGACAAAGUUGGAAGAGGUUUAGACCUACUUGGAGAAGGUGUGGUUAGGCCACCAGAUAGCACAGAAGUUCACUGGUGCAUCCAGACCAGAGCUGGCCUGGAAUUGCCGAGAAAAGCAAUAGACCUCCCUUCCAAGUGCAGGCCAGGAGUAGGUGGUCAGCAUGCAGUGGCGUGGGUGUGCAGGGGAGUCUGGGCAUGGGUGGUCACAGGGGCUGAAGCCUUCAGAGCUUGUGGGCUACAUGUGGUGUGGGUCAGGAGUUUGCAGAGUGCUAGUUUGAAUGUCCACUCAAAACUCAUAUUGAAACUUAAUCCCCAGUGUGGCAAUACUGAUGGGUGGGGCCUUUAAGAGGCGAUUGAAUCAUGGGAGCUCUGCCCUCAUAGAGGGAUUAAUCCAUUUAUGGAUUAAUGAAUUAAUGGGCUGAAGGAUUGAUACGUUAUCAAGGGAGGGGACCUGGAGGCUUCAUAAGAAGAGGAACAGAGACCUGAGGUGGCAUAGAGCGUGCUUAGCCCCCUCGCCAUGUGAUGCCCUGCUCUGCCUUGGGACUCUGCAGAGAGUCCCCAGCAGCAAUAAGGCCUGCACAAGAUGCAGGCCCUCUGCCUGGGACUUCUCAGUCUCCAGAGCUGUAAGAAAUACAUUUCUUUUCUUUAUAAAUUUCCCAGUUUCAGGUAUUUUGUUACAAGUAAAGAAAACGGACUAAGUCACAGAGGGAACAAGUGCUCUGUGCACCAGACCUCAGGCGGCUAUGUGUAGACCACACAGGAGCUUGUGGAGGCAGUCUGUGCGUUGAUACAGGCAGGAGGCUUUAAGAGCUGGGGGCCAUGCGGGGCUCUGGGUUCCAAAGAGAGAGGGCAGCAGAAAGGGUAUCACUACACUAAGGCUACAAGGUUGCAGAUGACCACGUUCUGGGGCCCAUGGCUGAGGCAGGAUGACCACAGGCUCUCCAACUCCACCAAUGCUGAAAUGACAGGAAUUCUCUUCCUCCUGCAGUGUCCUUCCAGUGCCUUCUGCUGAGAAAGCGUAAUACUGUGCUUACUUUAAAGAAGAAUAAUGGAAUUUCGUUAGUACAGGGCACAUAUUAAAGGGUGAAUUCAGAGCUGAGAGGAAUGAAUUAAAAACCGACACAUGAGGUCAAUGAUGUUUGGGGAUGAGAAGUCUCCCCAGGGUCCCACAGUCAAAGGCAGAGCCAGGAUUUAAAGCCAAGUCUGUGAGGCUACAGAGCCCUUUCCAACCCAGCAUUUCUAAUCAGGUAAGUUGGAAUAAACCUCACCUCACCAAGGGCUGGGAACUUCCCCUAAUUUAAGUCCAGAACUUCUAAGCUCCUGAAACACUUUGGAUAUGAAACUGCAAAUGUCCUUCUUAGGUGCAACAUGGCCAUCUCUCAAUUUCUCUACUUCCCUACAAGGUCUAAGGGUAGGGACUCAGUUAUUCAUUUCUGAGUCUCCAGAGCCUAGCACAUAGGGACUCAAAUAAUUUUGCUGAAUGAAUAAGCAGAUGAAUGAAUACAGGAGGGGAAAGGGUAAACCAAAUUUAGUAAUGUUUCCAAGCCUCUUUUUGAAAGCAGCAUUAAGCUUGGAAACUUAACGCUUGAAUAGCAUUUUUCAAUUGAAACCCCAUUCAACAUGCCUCUGAUUCCACAAACAUAUUAUUUUCACUUAUUGGCCUUUCCAAAGUUCUGCCUCCUAGGAA
rnacentral:lncRNA from 10 species